rnacentral:rRNA from 1 species
GUGAAAUUCUCAGAUUAACUAAAGACUAACUUAUGCGAAAGCAUUUGCCAAGGAUGUUUUCAUCGAUCAAGAACGAAAGU